rnacentral:tRNA from 1 species
GCAGUGGUGGCUCAGUGGUACAAUUCUUGCCUUCCAUGCAGGAGACCCGGGUUUGAUUCCCAGCCCAGGCA